rnacentral:rRNA from 1 species
GACAGAGGGUGCAAACGUUUGUUCGGAAUUACUGGGCGUAAAGCGCGUGUAGGCGGCUAAGUAAGUCGGGCGUGAAAUCCCACGGCUCAACCGUGGAAGUGCACUCGAAACUGCAUAGCUAGAGUCCUGGAGAGGAAGGUGGAAUGCUUGGUGUAGAGGUGAAAUUCGUAGAUAUUCGCAAGAACACCAGUGGCGAAGGCGGCUCACUGGCCCGGUACUGACGUUGAGGUGCGAAAGCGUGGGGAGCAAACAGG